rnacentral:lncRNA from 1 species
GUUGAAACUCCCUUGAGAGUUCAUGUCGUUCUUUAAAGCCGUUCCCAAUCGGAACGACAGUCUGGCACAGCUGGUUGUCUUCCCUUCCGCUGGCAGAUUAGCCGAUGGAAGCAGAGCAAGGACAGAAAUGUCCAGGCAUUGGUUCACAUCUGCUGAUUCUACUCUUUCAAAAUCCAGGUCAGUUCUUUGAGGUGUGGAUUUGUUUACCUGCCCAAAGUCCUGGAAGUGAGCAAGAUGAGAAAACAGUAGACCUCCAUGCCUUUGAACUGGACGAUACAGAUUAAGUGCAGGAUAUGUGAAACAAAAAGUGUCCAGAAUAAAUAGCUGAAGAUGAAGCA